UCUUUGAAAUACCUAAAUAAUCGUCGUCAAUUCCUUUUCUUUAGCAUUAACUCCAAAUCGAUAAUUAUUAGCAAAUCAAUUUGAAUAUUUCAUCAUUUGGAAGCGAUUUGAAAAAUGAGAACCUGUUCUUAUCAUUUAAUUUGAAUUUACCGAGCACGGAUCUAAUGCCUUUGGAGAAGAUGUCAUUUGUUCCGCUUAUAUUUCCGUCAUAUCUGCUCAUAGGUCUGGUUCUUAUCUAUGAAAUAUUGACUCCUUCAAUUCAUGACAUGCAUGAAUCAGUUGGCCGCAGCUAAUGAAGACUGUUGAACAUGGAUACUACACAGAGAUGAUUACCUUUUGCUUAAUCUAUUUAUAAAUGGUGGAUAUCACUAGCGU